rnacentral:rRNA from 1 species
UACGUAGGGGGCAAGCGUUGUCCGGAAUCAUUGGGCGUAAAGAGCGUGUAGGCGGCUUGGUAAGUCCGCUGUGAAAGUCCAGGGCUCAACCCUGGAAAGCCGGUGGAAACUGUCAAGCUUGAGUCCGGAAGAGGCGAGUGGAAUUCCUGGUGUAGCGGUGAAAUGCGCAGAUAUCAGGAGGAACACCAGUGGCGAAGGCGACUAUCUGGGCUGCAACUGACGCUGAGGCGCGAAGGCUAGGGUAGCAAACAGG